rnacentral:misc_RNA from 1 species
AACUUUUAACAACGGAUCACUUGGCUCUCGCAUCGAUGAAGAACGCAGCGAAAUGCGAUACGUAAUGUCAAUUGCAGAAUUCAGUGAAUCAUCGAAUCUUUGAACGCACCUUGCGCCCUAUGGUAUUCCGAGGGGCACACCCGUUUGAGUGUCGCGACAUUCUCAAAACCUUCUCGGUUUCUCGACCGGGAAGGCUUUGGACCUUGGAGGCUUUUGCUGGCAUUCCUUUGGGGGAGCGGGCUCCUCUGGACGGAAGUGGUGUGGUCUGCUUUGCCGAUCCUUGACGUGAUAAGAUGUUUUCUACGUCUUGGGUUUUAGCACUCCUGCUGCUAACCGUCUCACAGUAGACAAAUGGUCCACUCGACCCACAAACCUUGACCUCUAAUCGGGUGAGACUACCCGCUGAACUUAAGCAUAUCAAUAAGCGGAGGCU